rnacentral:rRNA from 1 species
GACGGAGGGUGCUAGCGUUGUUCGGAAUUACUGGGCGUAAAGGGCGCGUAGGCGGCCAUGUAAGUCGGGUGUGAAAGCCCGGGGCUCAACCCCGGAACGGCACCCGAGACUGCGUGGCUCGAGACCGGAAGAGGUGAGUGGAAUACCCAGUGUAGAGGUGAAAUUCGUAGAUAUUGGGUGGAACACCGGUGGCGAAAGCGGCUCACUGGCCCGGUUCUGACGCUGAGGCGCGAAAGCGUGGGGAGCAAACGGG